AGUUCAGCUUCAGGUGAUUCAGCCUUCACACCAACAGCCACACUGAGUUUUGGCAACAGUUCAGGAAGUCUCACACCUUCACCUUCCUCUGAAACCACUAAUCAGUCAGUUCUGAGCAUGGAGGAGAUGCCAACAUCUAAAGAAAUGUCUGCAGAGCUUCUGCUGGUUGUUGGUCUGGCCGUCACUGGCAUCCUGUUAUCUGGGGUGUUGCUGGUUUUCUGCACAAAAAGGUGUCAUAAUCAUCGGAAAGGUACGAAGGCAGGAGGAUCUGACAGAACUGAUCAGCAGGGUGGUGAUUAUGAAAAUUAUCCCUCUGGGGAAUUGAUUUACCAGAACGUCAAACCUGUCGACAGGAGCAGGAAGUAGAUGUGAAGAACGGGGAAAUCCAUAUGAGAUCCUGGGUUGACUCCUGGGUUGUGUUUCUGUCGCUACAACCUGGAAAUGUUACAUUCAAAGUACCAGCAGAAAAUUAAUAAAAACUAUGUCACU